AACAUAUAACAUAAACACAACAUACACUUGUUGGCACCGUUGUUGCUUUGCGUCUUGUGUUUUCAGUUCGCGUUUAGCAUCUCUCUCUCUCGCUCUUGUGCCGAGAGACUCUUUGCGUUUCUCGAGCAAUCGGCGCCAACCGUUUAACUGGGCUAGGGUUUAGGGUCUUGAAUCGAAUUGACGGACAUUAGAGAAAUUUCAAGGACUUGAAGCUGAGCUUGCAAGGCGGCAUGGGAUUUGAUAAUGAGUGCAUAUUGAAUAUCCAAUCUCUUGCCGGAGAGUACUUUUGUCCAGUUUGUCGUUUGCUUGUCUACCCAAAUGAAGCAUUGCAGUCACAGUGCACUCAUUUAUACUGCAAGCCCUGUUUGACAUACGUAGUGAGCUCUACCCGAGCUUGCCCAUAUGAUGGCUACUUAGUGACAGAAGCAGAUGCCAAGCCACUUAUUGAAUCAAAUAAGUCCCUUGCUGAAACCAUAGGAAAAAUAGCAGUUCAUUGCCUCUAUCACAGGAGUGGAUGCACAUGGCAGGGACCUUUAUCUGAGUGUACAUCUCAUUGUUCUGGAUGUGCCUUUGGCAAUUCUCCUGUAGUAUGUAACAGGUGUGGAAUCCAAAUUGUGCAUCGUCAAGUGCAGGAGCAUGCACAAAAUUGCCCGGGUGUGCAGCCUCAAGCGCAGCAGGCUGAGGGUGCUUUGGAUACUUCAGCUUCUGGCACAUCAGCUACUGCUGAUCAGACCCAGGCUGCCACUCAGUCAGGAAUAGCAACAUCUCAGGCCCAGGUUUCUCAAACUACAAGUGUCACAGCACCUGGACCUGAUCCUAAUCAGAAAGCAAACUCAAGUUCUCAAGCUGUUGUUCAAGCUGCUGUGCCGUCUGCUGAACAGUGGUACCAACAUCAGCAACAAUAUCAACAGUACUACCAGCAGUACCCUGGGUAUGAUCCAUAUCAACAACAAUAUCAGAACUACUAUCCCUAUCAACAGCCAGCAGUUCCACAAUCACAGCAGCAGCAUUUGCAGUCUCAUCCACCAUAUGGGACAGUCCAGCAUCAAUCUCAGACAUACUUGCAAUCGCAGCCCCAAACUCAACCUCCACUACAGCCUCAAUUAUCUCAAUCUCAAUCUCAAGCUCAAGCUCAAGCGCAACCCCCACCCCAACCCCAAAUUCAGCCCCCACAUGUGCAGGCUCCUGUUGCUGCUCAAACUCAAAAUCAGGCACAAGUUAACCAACAGCAGCAACUUCACCCUGCAGUGCAGACUUACCCGGCAGCUCAUGGGCAGCCACAUCCUCAACCCCUACCAUAUUUCCAAGCUCCAACCCAUUCACAGCCACAUCCUCAACAUGUGCAAAUGCCUCAUAAUCAGCAAGCCCAAAUUCAGCAACAUACCCAGUCCCAGCUUCUCCUGCAACAGCAUCCCAUUUCUCAACCCCAACCUCAUUCACAACCUCAGCAACAGGCACAGCUUCAACAACAUCCCCAGCCCAAUCCCCAACUUCACCCUUCUCAGCCGAUGACUGCUACCAUCCAGCCUCAGACACAACAUCCAUCAUCUCAUGCAGUGACUGGCAAUCACUUGUACCCUCAACCUCACCUUCACCAACCAAUGCAGUCAGGAGCCCCACAACAACGUACUAUGCACGUGCAAUCUCAUGGAAUGCCUCACUCCCAGUCACAAACUCCCGUUCAAAUACAGAGUCAGUUCCCUCAACAACCCCCACUUAUGCGGCCACCCCCAUCUCAUACAACAAUUCCAAACCAGCAGCAGCCAGCUUUGUUGCCUUCUCCUGGUCAAAUCCAAAACAUGAAUCCUGCACAACAGCAGCCUGUUCACUCUUAUGGUCACCCACCUGGGAAUACUGUCCAUCAGCGCCCUCAUAUGCAGGCAGUUCAACAACCGACUCCUCAGCAAUAUUUCCACCACCAGCCUUUUGUACAACAGCAACCACCUACACAGCUACGUCCCCAGGGUCAAUCUCAUUUGUUCCCUCAACAUAUUCAUGCUUCUACACAGUCUCAGCAGAACGUUGCAUUGUCUCAGGGCAUUCAACAUACCCAGUCUAAUCUUGGCGGAAGGCCUAUGAUGCCAAUUCAUGGAGUACAAUCUCAGACCUAUGCACAAACUGCUGGAGGUGUUUACAUGAGGCCAAUGCAUCCUGCUGCAAACCUUCCAUCUACAAAUCAGAACAGUAUGGUCAGCACAAACAACCUAGUGCAGUCUGGAGCAAACUCGGGACCAACUACGUCUGAGAGGCAAGCUGAGCAAGAAUCUGGGUUAUCGGCUCAACAAAAUGCUAAAAAGGUUGUACAUGAUGUGGGUACAGCAUCUGGUGUGGUAGCUGAUGCGGAGGUUAAAACUGCGAAAUCUGAGACGGAUAUUAAGUCCAUUGAUAAUGAGAAUAAACCUACUGGUGAAGAUAAAACUAAUCAGGGAGAUACAUCUUCCAAGGAGAUUCCAGAUAUACAUGCGCUUGAAAAUGGAGAGUCUGUAAGUAAAUCAAUGUUGAAGGAAGAGGGUGUGGAUGGUACUCUAGACCAUUCAAGUAACGGUAAAUUGGGUGAAGUUGUAGCUGAGGGUGCAAAAGAUGUUUCCAGCAGUGACGUGAAACAGAGAGAGCUUAAAGAAAUCCCAUCUGAAGAAGCUCAACUUCGUGAAGAACAGGGUCGGAUGUUGCAGAAGGAUGCUAGUGGCAAUCCGCAGCCUUUUAUUGGCACUGAUGAGGGAUAUCAAGCUGUAUCUACUUCAGCUCCAAUAUCUGAUCAAGGAAAGCAUCUGCCUCAUCAUGGACCUACUACAAUCCCGCAAAGACCUGGCGCACCUCUUUUGUUACAAGUGCCUCCAGGACCUCCUCAUCAUACACAGGGGCCUGGGCAUCAUCUAAGGCCUCCAGGGCCUGCACAUGUUCCUGGACAGCCUUUUCAUUCAUCUGAGCAUUUCCAGCCACAUGGUGGCAACCUGGGCUUUGGAGCAUCAUCUGGCAGGGCAAGUCAGCAUGGUCCUCAAGGAAGCAUCGAACUGCAAUCUGUUACUCCGCAUGGGCCUUAUAACGAAGGUCAUUUACCGUUUCCACCCACUAGUGCUUUUGAUUCUCAAGGUGGCAUGAUGUCAAGAGCAGCACCAAUUGGACAGCCAUCUGGUAUCCACCCAAAUAUGUUGAGGAUGAAUGGAACUCCAGGCCCUGAUUCCUCAUCAACUCAUGGGCCGAGGGACGAAAGGUUUAAGGCUUUUCCAGGCGAGCGGUUGAAUCCCUUUCCAGUGGAUCCGACACAUCAUGUUAUUGACCGAGUAGAGUUUGAAGAUGAUCUGAAGCAAUUCCCUAGGCCUUCAUAUCUGGAUUCUGAGCCUGUUGCAAAAUUUGGGAAUUACUCGUCAAGGCCAUUUGAUAGGGCACCUCAUGGCUUCAAGUAUGAUAGUGGUCCGCAUACAGAUCCUGCAGCUGGCACUGCUCCAUCAAGGUUCCUGUCUCCCUAUCGUCUUGGUGGUUCAGUGCAUGGGAAUGAUGCAGGAGAUUUUGGGAGAAUGGAGCCUACUCAUGGUCAUCCAGAUUUUGUUGGACGGCGUCUUGUGGAUGGUUUGGCUCCUCGAAGCCCAGUUAGAGAUUACACUGGCCUCCCACCUCAUGGGUUUAGAGGCUUUGGCCCUGAUGAUUUUGAUGGCAGGGAGUUUCAUCGAUUUGGUGAUCCACUUGGAAAUCAAUUCCAUGAGGGUAGGUUUUCUAGUUUGCCCGGUCAUUUUCGUAGGGGAGAGUUUGAGGGUCCUGGUAAUCUGCGAAUGGUUGAUCUUAGAAGGAAUGAUUUUAUUGGUCAAGAUGGUCACCCUGGUCAUCUUCGGAGGGGAGAUCAUUUAGGUCACAACUUGCGAGAACCUCUGGGUUUUGGUUCUCGUCAUUCACGCAUGGGAGACAUGGCUGGGCCCGGGAACUUUGAGUCAUUUCGAGGCAACAGGCCCAGUCAUCCUCGCCUUGGUGAGCCUGGAUUUCGAAGCAGCUUUUCACUUCAGAGAUUUCCAAAUGAUGGAACUUAUACAGGAGAUCUGGAGUCUUUUGAUCACUCAAGGAAAAGGAAGCCAGCUAGUAUGGGGUGGUGUCGGAUCUGUAAAGUUGAUUGUGAAACAGUUGAAGGCUUGGACUUGCAUUCACAAACAAGGGAGCACCAGAAGAUGGCUAUGGAUAUGGUACGAAGCAUUAAGCAGAAUGCCAAAAAGCAGAAACUAACCUCUAGUGAUCAGUCCUUAUUAGAGGAUGCAAACAAGUCAAAAAUUCCAGUAUUGAGGGCCGGGGAGAAAAGCAUUGAUUGAUGAUGGUGUGCUGCAAUGUGGAUCUCUUUGGUUGCAUUUCACUUGGGGUCCAAUUGUUUCUUUGGUAUUAUUGCGUUAGCAAUAUAGGUGAUGCACCCUUCCAUGCCUCUUUUUUCUACAUUCGGGGUGGUUCAUGCUAGUUUUGUCAUUUCAGGUUGCUGCCAUGUUAAUGGAGAUGGUAUUUGGAACUGGAGUUCAAUGGCAAUCUUUUCAAUUCGACCUGUCUUUUUUCGGCGAAGCAGACUACGUAAGGGCUGAAAGUUUAGCAGAGAGGUUUACUCUGUCGUCUGUUUUUGAUGUGUGCUAGCUUAUUCUUGAAGGGUGUCUGUGGGUCUCCCCAAGCUGUGUAGAGAGAGAUGAGGAGGUUCGUUCAGUCAAGCUAUGGAUGUUGUUCCCUACCUUCCCAAACUUUAAUGCUUUUUCAAGGGCUUCGUUUCAUCUGCAAUUUUAUCACAAUCAUGGGUUGAUAUGUUUGUACAGGAAUAUGAUGUAAAGUUUUAGUUUUUGAUUUUCUAAGACAUUGCUUGGUCAUGGGAUCUCCAUGAGAGAGAGAGAGAGAGAGAGAGAGAGAGAGAGAGCCUUGAGUGAAAAUAGGUUUUGUGU